rnacentral:rRNA from 1 species
UACGGGGGGGGCAAGCGUUGUUCGGAAUUACUGGGCGUAAAGGGCUCGUAGGUGGCCAACUAAGUCAGACGUGAAAUCCCUCGGCUCAACCGAGGAACGGCGCUUGAUACUGCAUGGCUUGAGGGAGACAGGGGUAAGCGGAACUGAUGGUGGAGCGGUGAAAUGCGUUGAUAUCAUCAGGAACACCGGUGGCGAAAGCGGCUUACUGGGUCUCUUCUGACGCUGAGGAACGAAAGCUAGGGUAGCGAACGGG